rnacentral:lncRNA from 1 species
CAAACAAUAGUGCAUAAGUUAGGAAGAGGCUAGGUUUGGCUGCAGUAAUGAACAACAAGGGUUCAUUUCUCUCAAACCCUGCAUGUCCAUUACAGGUUAGCUGCACCUCUACUCCACGUGGUCCUCCCUUCAGGUCCCAGGCUGAUGGAGUAGCCUCUGUGUGUUUGGGAUGUUGUCAGUCAUAAUGGUGGACACAAAAGAGAUUAUGACAAACCGUGUAUUGUCUCCUACAAUUUCUGCUCACAGAAGUGGACAACAUCACUUCUUUCCACAUUUCAUUGACCAGAGCAAGUCAUGUGACCAAGCCUGAUUCAAAAUAGGCUGGAGCAAGGAGGAGCAGCAAACAUAAAUGACAAAAUUGGGGUCUGGACAUGUGCAAGGACUUUUCCGAAGUCAGCUGGAAAGGAGCUGCUUAGCUGAGAGGUUCUGGCUCCAAAGUCUCCUGUGAAGUUGCAGUCAAGAUGUCUGCUGGGACCCCAGUCAUUUGAAGCCCUGUCUGGGGCAGGAGAAUCUAGGUCCAAAAUGGCCGUUGCAGGAGUCCUUAUCCACACCAUGUGGGGCCUCUUCAUAGAUGUUCGAGUGUCCUCAUGGCAUGGCCACUGGCUUUCCCCAAAGUAAGCAGUCCAAAAGAGGGUAAGACAGAGCCCACACUGUCUUUUAUGAAUUAGCCUUGGAAGUCUAACACGGUUACUUCCACCACAUUCAUUAGUCGUUAG